rnacentral:rRNA from 1 species
AGUGGCGGACGGGUGAGUAACGCGUGGGUAACCUGCCCUAUACAGGGGGAUAACAGUUAGAAAUGACUGCUAAUACCGCAUAAGCGCACUAAAACCGCAUGGUUCGGUGUGAAAAACUGAGGUGGUAUAGGAUGGACCCGCGUCUGAUUAGCUGGUUGGUGAGGUAACGGCUCACCAAGGCGACGAUCAGUAGCCGGCCUGAGAGGGCGACCGGCCACAUUGGGACUGAGACACGGCCCAAACUCCUACGGAAGGCAGCAG